UCUAUGAGGGAAGAAAGCAUAAUUGUAGAGCAAGGAAGCCACCACUGCUCCAACCAUGGGACCCAGCCAGAAGACCUGUGCAUGGAAAUGACAACAUGAGAGAGACUCAGAAGAUGGCAGAGACCAUGAUUACUCUUGGGUUUCUCCAGCAUUUACAAAGCCAUGAAACUCCUGAUAACUUUUGAUCCUUGCAUCUGGAAUUCCUUCUUCUUUGACUUCCAAACCUUCCUGCGUUGCCCUGAGAUGAUCUCUAGCAGAACCCCUUCC